CAAAAUCCUAACUGAGUAUAUUCUGCUAAAAUUUUGAAGAGAGUGAUCUAAUCUAAGUAUAAUAAUCUUCAGAAGUCAGAAGUUCAGAAGAAGACAAAUGUAGUUGUCAGACUCUGUCCCGUGUUUUGUGUGUGUUCCUGCUCCCUGAUUGUUUGAGUUAUUAGUUAAUUUGAUCCCAUGUGUUUCCAUUGAUCCGAGGUGUUCCUCGUCUUCCCCUCAUCAAAUGUGUUUAAAUAGUGUUCCCAACCCAAGUUUCUUUGUCUGCUGUUAAAUGUUAUCCCCGAUGUUCCAGUGUUUGUUGUCUCCUUGUUUCCUGAAUAAAACUUCUUUGAAGUAUUCUCCAGGGUCUCCUCGUCCCUUCCAGCCUGAGUGACUGUGACAGAAGAGCAGACUGAACAGUAAGCGGCAUUCCCUCUCCUCGUGUUUAUUUUCUGUUUUUUAAUAGUGUUUUGGUUUAGUUUUUCUGUGCCCUAAUGGAGGAACGAGCCCUGACCUGGUCAGUUAUGCGAGGGCAUUAGUACCGCUCACCCUCGCCUGCUCUCUCGAAGGGGAAACACUUGUGAUGCUGUUCCGGAUCGGGAUAACAUGCCAUCAUCCCGUGGAGCUCCCAGACACAACCAACCUUGACUGGAAGGAGGCAGUCAUCCGGUGUCUUGAGAGCCUCCGGUCCCAAUCCGGAACCCCUCAGCCAGCUGUUUCCAAGCCCAGUCAGCUGGCAGUUCCCAAAGCCCAAUCAGCCGGCCACGCUGAAGUCAAGCCCACUGCCGUUCGCAGCUCACCCAAGCCCGCCAGCUCAUAUGGCAAGCCCUUUGAACAUUAAUAUGGCAAGCCCGCCAAAUGGUAAUCCAGCCCCAGAGCUCGCUCCAGUGUCGGCUCCAGCCCCAGAGCUCGCUCCAGCUCCUAAACUCACAGUGCCAGCUACCCGCUUUGCUGUGCCUGCUCCUCAAGAGCACCAGCCGGUGCCAGCACCACGUACGCGCAUACCCAAUCCACAGUCAAGCCCAGGGAGGGCUCCUGUUCCCGAGUCGAACCCAGAAUGAGCUCCAGAUGUCCCGUUAAGCCCAUGGAGGGCUCCUGAUUUCCCGUUAAGCCCAGGGAGGGCUCCUGAUUCCCCAAGUUCAGACCUCAUGUAGGAGUUCCAAAGUUUUCAUAUGUGAGCCUCUUUGGUGGUCGUCGUUGUCGGACUCUAGAUGGUUCCAUCUGCAGGAUUUCUCAGUGCAGGUAAGUGAUGUUCUGGUAAAGGUUGAUCUGGUAAUUGUCAUUCUUCAACAGGUAAGUGUUGUCUAGGUGAGGGUCAUUCAGGUAAGUGGUGUUCUGAGUGAGCUGAUGAUUUCUCACCGCAGUAGGUAACAGGUUUAUUAUGACUAUUUGGCUGUGUUCUAAACUGGUAGGGUUCAACUUGCACAUAGUAGGCCUACUCAUCAUCACUUUCACUGUCACCCUCUGACUCAUGUUCCUCCCUUCUCUUAGCAGGUAAAGCUGUUCUUUUCUUUUAGUGUUUUUGCUUUAGUGUGGCAUUUUGAGUCGGUGUGGUAACCUGAGGUAAGUGGUCACAGGGGAGAAGAUUAUUACGAUGCAACACUCUUGAUCUGCCUUUGCUCUGCUCUGGUUUCACUUCAUAGAUUGGAGUAUCUUCAGCAGCCUGGUGGAUGACAAUGUGGACUUCAUCCUCCCCAAAAGUUUUCCACCAAGAAGCAAACAUCGGCUAACAAUUGCUUAAUUUUCACCGAUUUUCAUUGAAUUUAGGUUUGGUUUCUUCAAUUUAGGCAUAUUCACUAUUGAUACACUGCAUGUACAGUAAUAUUUCAGUUAGUUUGAAGACCGAUUGAAACAUUCAAAACUUGAGUCUUUGUUUUAGAUCGAUGUAAUAUCCAUUAUUUAUGAUGUGAAAUAUUAUAACUUUUAGAGUGUAUUAUCUCCCCUAACAGCUGAGAAUGACCUGUACUACUGUCUGCAACCCCAGAGCUUAAUACAUCCAUCAGACUUAACAGUUAUUUUUUUCCCUCAUACUUUUCUGUAUUCUUCAAACAUACCUUUGGUGCCUGUGGCCAAAGAGUUGAGUUUCUUACUUUAUCAGACCACAACACUUGCUAGUGGCUUAUCUAAGUGUGGUGUUAAAUUGUGAUACUGACAUUUAUGCUGAGGUUGGUUUCCUCCUUCCAUUCAGAUCAUGUUUGUGCACACUGACCCCUGUAGCAGCUCAAUAUUCCCA
ensembl:lncRNA